UAUCUCACUCUCUCUCUCUCUCUCUCUCUCUCUCUCUCUCUCUCUCUUUCUUUCUGCUCCCUCAUUUCUCUCAUCUUUCUCUAAACACUACCACAAACCCUUAAUUUUUUUCUUGAUCUAGCAAGAUCCAUUGAGUAUUUGACCGUAGUUCUUAAGGUCAAAUUGAAGAACACUUCAAGGAUUUUGUUUUGAUCGGUGGAGAUUGAAUUUCAGCAACGUCGAAUUUUGGAGUUUCAAUUCAUUUUCUCUCCUAAGUUUUGAGGUGAUUGUGGUGUGCCUCCACCAAAGUGAAGGCGUGGAGGAUCUUUUGGAGCAUAUGGCUCAAUUAUUUAUUUGUUUUCUUUCUUUGCAAGCCAAGGGCUAUCUAUGUAUGGGUUUGAAAACCAUUUUGUUGUAACCGGGCAAAGCCUUGGAACUUGUAGCCGUUAAGGUAUAAAUUUGUAUUUUGUUGCUUUAAUUUGUUAUUAUCACAUGCUAUAAACUCAUAUCUUAAGGAUGAUGAAUGUAUUAAUGCUAGUGGUCUCUCUUUUGUGAAAUUUCAUGUUGGAUAUUGUCAAUAGAAAAAUGGUGAUUUAGUA